rnacentral:rRNA from 1 species
AGUGAACGCUGGCGGUAGGCCUAACACAUGCAAGUCGAACGGCAGCACAGUAAGAGCUUGCUCUUACGGGUGGCGAGUGGCGGACGGGUGAGGAAUACAUCGGAAUCUACUUUUUCGUGGGGGAUAACGUAGGGAAACUUACGCUAAUACCGCAUACGACCUACGGGUGAAAGUAGGGGAUCUUCGGACCUUGCGCGAUUGAAUGAGCAGAUGUCGGAUUAGCUAGUUGGCGGGGUAAAGGCCCACCAAGGCGACGAUCCGUAGCUGGUCUGAGAGGAUGAUCAGCCACACUGGAACUGAGACACGGUCCAGACUCCUACGGGAGGCAGCAGUGGGGAAUAUUGGACAAUGGGCGCAAGCCUGAUCCAGCCAUACCGCGUGGGUGAAGAAGGCCUUCGGGUUGUAAAGCCCUUUUGUUGGGAAAGAAAAGCAGCAGGUUAAUACCCCGCUGUUCUGACGGUACCCAAAGAAUAAGCACCGGCUAACUUCGUG